CAUAUGCUUGUCUCAAGAUUAAGCCAUGCAUGUCUGAGUACAGACCGAUCUAAGGUGAAACCGCGGAAUGGCUCAUUAAAUCAGUCAUAAUUCCUUGGAUAGUGAAAAACUUCCUCGGAUAACUGUGGAAAAUCCAGAGCUAAUACGUGCAACUGAGCUGCGACCUUGGCGCAAGCCUUGGGAGGAGCGCAUUUAUUAGAUUCAAAACUGAUCGUCGUACUCCUUCGGGAUACGUCGUUUGUCAAAUGUUUGAUGACUCCGGAUAACUUAGCCGAGCGCUAGGGUCUUUGUACCUGCGCCGUAUCUUUCAAGUGACUGCCUUAUCAGCUUUCGAUUGUAGGUUAAAUGCCUACAAUGGCUGUAACGGGUAACGGGGAAUCAGGGUUCGAUUCCGGAGAGGGAGCCUGAGAAACGGCUACCACAUCUAAGGAAGGCAGCAGGCACGUAAAUUACCCACUCCCAGCUCGGGGAGGUAGUGACGAAAAAUAACGAUGCGAGACUCUUCCGAGGCCUCGCAAUCGGAAUGAGUCCAUUUUAAAUCCUUGGACGAGGAUCCAUUGGAGGGCAAGUCUGGUGCCAGCAGCCGCGGUAAUUCCAGCUCCAAUAGCGUAUAUUAAAGUUGCUGCGGUUAAAAAGCUCGUAGUUGGAUCCCCUAGAUCCAAUUCGUGGGCGAGUCGCUCGUUGUGUUAGCUUUUCGCGAUGUUCCCUCGAUGAGGUUUCUCGGCAACUAGACCCUUCUAGGCUUUAGCGUAUAUAUCUCGAUUUCGGUCGUUUUUAUGCGCGGGCUAUCACGGGGGGGAUUCUAUCACCGGUUACCGAUUCUUGAUACUUGCGAAUCGUGGAGCUUCGAGUAUUGCUCGUCCGCGUUUGGUACAAUACCAAUAUUGUUGGCUCGCUCGGAGUGCUCUUUACCGAGUGUUCCGGGGUGGCCGACACGUUCACUUUGAAAAAAUUAGAGUGCUUAAAGCAGGCUUAUAUAAGAGCAUGCAUGCUUGUGCAUGGAAUGAAGUAACAGGACCUCGAUUCUGUUUCUUUUUAUCGGUUUUAUUGAACCGAGGUAAUGAUUAAAAGGGACAGACGGUGGCAUUAGUAUUGCGGGGCUAGAGGUGAAAUUCUUGGACCCUCGCAAGACUAACUACUGCGAAAGCAUUUGCCAAGAAUGUUUUCAUUAAUCAAGAACGAAAGUUAGAGGAUCGAAGGCGAUCAGAUACCGCCCUAGUUCUAACCCUAAACUAUGCUAACUAGCGAUCCGCCGGAGUCAUUCCCACGACCCGGCGGGAAGCCCUAAGGGAAACCAAAGUAUUUGAGUUCCGGGGGAAGUAUGGUUGCAAAUCUGAAACUUAAAGGAAUUGACGGAAGGGCACCACCAGGAGUGGAGCCUGCGGCUUAAUUUGACUCAACACGGGAAACCUCACCAGGCCCGGACAUUAUAAGGAUUGACAGAUUGAGAGCUCUUUCUCGAAUUAAUGGGUGGUGGUGCAUGGCCGUUCUUAGUUGGUGGAGUGAUCUGUCUGGUUGAUUCCGAUAACGAACGAGACUCUACCUUACUAACUAGUCGGCGGAUCGUAACCCUGAGCUGGUCGGUUUGUAUAGGGGAGUUUAGCCUAGAAUUUGUUUCGUUCUUUUAACGCUUAGGGGAGGCGCGAGGUCAACGUACCGAGCUCUCUUACGGCGUCAUAGAAUUGUGCGAGUUCGAAGCGGCUUUCCGAUUACUGCCGCUACUGGGGGCGUCCGUCGCAAUAUAUCUUCUUAGAAGGAUCAGCGGCGUCUAGUCGCACGAGAAAGAGCAAUAACAGGUCUGUGAUGCCCUUAGAUGUUCUGGGCCGCACGCGCGCUACAAUGUAGGGCUCAGCGUGAUUUUCCUCUCCGAAAGGAGCGGGUAACCCCAUGAAUCCCGUACUUGAAAGGGAUUGGGGAUUGCAAAUAUUUCCCAUGAACGAGGAAUUCCCAGUAAGCGCGAGUCAUUAACUCGCGUUGAUUACGUCCCUGCCCUUUGUACACACCGCCCGUCGCUACUACCGAUUGAAUGAUUCAGUGAGGGCAUCGGACUGGCCCUUCGGUUUAGUAACAUAGACCUUAGGCUGACGGAAAGAUGUCCGAACUUGAUCAUUUAGAGGAAGUAAAAGUCGUAACAAGGUUUCCGUAG
rnacentral:rRNA from 1 species